GAUGAACGCUAGCGGCAGGCUUAACACAUGCAAGUCGAGGGGUAACAGGAUUUAGUUUACUAGAUUGCUGACGACCGGCGCACGGGUGAGUAACGCGUAUACAAUUUACCUUUUACAGGGGGAUAGCCCAGAGAAAUUUGGAUUAAUACCCCAUAGUAUUAUUGAUCGGCCUCGGUUGAUAAUUAAAGUUCCGGCGGUAAAAGAUGAGUAUGCGUCCUAUUAGCUAGAUGGUGAGGUAACGGCUCACCAUGGCGACGAUAGGUAGGGGUCCUGAGAGGGAGAUCCCCCACACUGGUACUGAGACACGGACCAGACUCCUACGGGAGCAGCAGUGAGGAAUAUUGGUCAAUGGA
rnacentral:rRNA from 1 species